rnacentral:rRNA from 1 species
CCUACGGGGGGCUGCAGUGGGGAAUAUUGCACAAUGGGCGAAAGCCUGAUGCAGCAACGCCGCGUGAAGGAAGAAGGGUUUCGGCUCGUAAACUUCUAUCAAUAGGGACGAAAAAAAUGACGGUACCUAAAUAAGAAGCCCCGGCUAACUACGUGCCAGCAGCCGCGGUAAUACGUAGGGGGCAAGCGUUAUCCGGAAUUACUGGGUGUAAAGGGAGAGUAGGCGGCAUGGUAAGUUAGAUGUGAAAGCCCGAGGCUUAACCUCGGGAUUGCAUUUAAAACUAUCAAGCUAGAGUACAGGAGAGGUAAGUGGAAUUCCUAGUGUAGCGGUGAAAUGCGUAGAUAUUAGGAAGAACACCAGUGGCGAAGGCGACUUACUGGACUGAAACUGACGCUGAGGCUCGAAAGCGUGGGGAGCGAACAGGAUUAGAUACCCCAGUAGUC